rnacentral:rRNA from 1 species
CCUACGGGAGGCAGCAGUGAGGAAUAUUGGUCAAUGGCCGGAAGGCUGAACCAGCCAAGCCGCGUGAGGGAGGAAGGCGCAGAGCGUCGCAGACCUCUUUUGCCGGGGGACAAAAGGCCGGACGGGUCCGGUUCUGAGGGUACCCGGAGAAAAAGCAUCGGCUAACUCCGUGCCAGCAGCCGCGGUAAUACGGAGGAUGCGAGCGUUAUCCGGAUUCAUUGGGUUUAAAGGGUGCGAAGGCGGGCCGUUAAGCCGGCGGUGAAAUCGCGGGGCUCAACCCCGCCGCGCCGUCGGAACUGGGGGCCUUGAGUGCGGGAGAGGCAUGCGGAAUGCGCGGUGUAGCGGUGAAAUGCAGAGAUAUCGCGCAGAACCCCGAUUGCGAAGGCAGCGUGCCGGGCCGCCACUGACGCUGAGGCACGAAAGCGCGGGGAUCGAACAGGAUUAGAUACCCUUGUAGUC